UGGGGAAUAUUGCACAAUGGGGGAAACCCUGAUGCAGCGACGCCGCGUGAACGAAGAAGGUAUUCGUAUCGUAAAGUUCUGUCCUAUGGGAAGAUAAUGACAGUACCAUAGAAGAAAGCUCCGGCUAAAUACGUGCCAGCAGCCGCGGUAAUACGUAUGGAGCGAGCGUUGUCCGGAAUUAUUGGGCGUAAAGGGUACGCAGGCGGUUUAAUAAGUCGAAUGUUAAAGAUCGGGGCUCAACCCCGCAAAGCAUUGGAAACUGAUAAAAUGGAGUAGUAGAGAGGAAAGUGGAAUUCCUAGUGUAGUGGUGAAAUACGUAGAUAUUAGGAGGAAUAACAGUAGCGAAGGCGACUUUCUGGACACAAACUGACGCUGAGGUACGAAAGCGUGGGGAGCAAACAGG
rnacentral:rRNA from 1 species